rnacentral:rRNA from 1 species
GACGAACGCUGGCGGCGUGCCUAAUACAUGCAAGUCGAACGCAGUGGGGACGGGUGAGUAACACGUGGGUAACCUCCCAUCAGAGGGGAUAAACCUUGGAAACUGGUGCUAAACCGAUACUGAUGGAUGGACCCGGGGUGCAUUAGCUAGUUGGUGAGGUAACGGCCCACCAAGGCCACGAUGCAUAGCCGACCUGAGAGGGUGAUCGGCCACACUGGGACUGAGACACGGCCCAGAUGCCGACGGGAGGCAGCAGUAGGGAAUCUUCGGCAAUGGACGAAAGUCUGACCGAGCAACGCCGCGUGAGUGAAGAAGGUUUUCGGAUCGUAAAGCUCUGUUGUUAGGGAAGCGGUACCUAACCAGAAAGCCACGGCUAACUACGUGCCAGCAGCCGCGGUAAUUC